UUUCCGUAGGUGAACCUGCGGAAGGAUCAUUCAUAAUAAAGUGUUCUAUGGCACUUUUUAAAAAUCCAUUUCCACCUUGUGUGCAAUGUUAGAUCUCGUCAAUCUUGGCGAGAUUUUUAUACAUCAACUCAUUCUUUAACUAAUUUGUCUGAAAAAUAUUAUGAAUACUUAAUUCAAAAUACAACUUUCAACAACGGAUCUCUUGGCUCUC
rnacentral:misc_RNA from 1 species